CCCCACGUUUAUCUGUACUUCUUUUUCAUUUGUGUCCAUUGUCCUUGUCCUGUUCAAUUUGGAUCCUGUUUUUUGCCUUUUUUUCUAUCACUUAUGGUCAAAUUCUGUAGAUCCUGUUUCUCUUCAGUGUGAAACAGGACUGAAGGGAGCAUUGGCUGUUUUGAGAACGACCAUUUUAUCUACUUCAGACCUUUCUUGGGGCCCCUUCAAUUUAUCUGUUGUUGGGCUGUGCUAAUCCCUUCCAGUUUCAUCUGCUCUUCUCUAAGUUGCCUGCGGAGCUUUUCAAGUGAUCCACUGAUGGAUAUUUUGGAUUUCUUGGGUCCAUCAGAUGCCAUGUUGCUACCUUCAACUUCCCUUGGUCCAGUUUCAUCCUGCUUCCUAGAAUCCUGAUGUGAAGGGCUGGAGUUCUAGCAGUCUUCUUGGACCAGGAGGAUGAGUGUUCCACCUUAAGAUGGAGCAGUAGAGGCUGGCACGGGGCCAGGCCUCUAGAUGAUUUGGGGAAUCCGCUAUACCUGCCCUGGAUUGCCAAUCCCCAGGCUUUUACGUGAGGGAGAGAUGGAUUUCCAUCUUGUGUAAGCCGCUGCUACUGUGGGCCUCUGCUUCUGGCCAAACCUGAUCUCAACUGAUAGCAUGGAAAACAGCAGAUGGAGAAGUUGCCAGAGAGUUUGAACAGAGGAAAGACGGUGUCAUGGAGACAAAGAAGGGCAGAAUUUCAGAAAGGAGGUGACCUACAAUGUGAAAGACGAUGAGAUCUGAGGACAAAGAUUAAACAGCCUGUAGGUGGAUUCAAGCAAGCACUGUCUCAUGUUAACUGUAAAGCAAACUGUAGGAAGACCCAUUGCAGCACCUGCAAAUACCCAAGGGCUGCCAACGUAGCUACAUCCUGGGAUGUGGGAGGUGCCUCUAUAUUAUGAAGAGAAAAAAAUACUGUAGACUCACUUCAGGCUGAAUAGACUGUCUCAGCCUUCAGGGAAUUAGAGACGCACAGUCAUGGUAGUUUCUAAGGUCAUCAAGAUAACUAAAGAAGGUAUCCAGGCAUAGAGAGUAAGGAAUGAGUGACGAAGCAAAUGCUUUUCCUCCUACUCUCUUCACUGGGCUAAUAAUUCUCACUGGCCCUUCAGAUUUCAGCCUCAAUGUCACCUCCUCCAAUAGGCAUUUCCUGGCCUUUCCUGUUGUAGUCUCUGAUAGCUCCCAAAACUUUUCCUCCAUAUUUCUUUCCAACUUUUAUCUACGCAUUAAUUUGUUUAAUAUCUAUCUUGUUCAAUGGUUUGCAAGUUGCAUGAAGCUUUGGAUCUUGCCUGGUCCGUUUCAUUGCUGUAUCUCCAAGGCCUAGCCCCUUGCCUGGCAAAAUAACAGGAGCUCAAUUAAACACACGAAUGAAGUUUCUCCUUACAGUUCUAGCACAAUCUUUUUGAUGUUCUGCUUAGUUUGCUCCUUGUGUGAGAGGGAGAGACUUUCUGAUGCUGUUCCUGGCUUCUCAGUGUUUUCAUCUAAAAAGUAAUGAUGAAGAGGAGAGAUCAGAAGGUGGAAUUUCUACAUAAUAUCUAUCUGGUUGGGUGAACUGUGUCUUACUUAAUUCCUCAUUCACUCAUGGAGGGCACAAGGGAACCAAUUAUUUUACAAGACUGUGGGUUCCCAAGGGUCUCUCAGAGCCUGGAGGAGUGCACGAGGCUUCUGAAGUUCCCCUGAGCAUUUCUCAGGGUAAAGGCAUUCUAAUAGGUACCUGUUAGAAGACUAUUUCUGAUACAGAGAAAGGGCAGCAUUCCAACCUUUCCCCACUGUACCUCCUCUCUGGCCUAACCCCUCAUUUUCUUACCCUAGUUCUCUGCCCCCAGUGAGAGCCAUUGCUCUUCCCCAACAUACCUCAGGCACCGCCCUCUAUGCCUCAGCUCAGGUGGUUUCUCCUCCUGGAUGUCCUCUGUCCCUGCCUCUCAAACACCAUCCACUCUCAGAGCCCAUGCCAAAUUCCAUCCUCUCUAGGAAGUCUUCCUGGAUCACCCAGCAGGCACUUGUUUUUCUCCCACAAUGCCUAUUGUUUCAUCUUCCUUUGAACAUCAGCACAUUCUGUCUUGUGGUGUUACUAUUAUUUUUAGAUGGGUAUUCAGUUUCCUGAAAGGAUGCUGCCUUGGGCUUCCGUAUAGCCCCUGGCUAGCUAGCAGACUGCCCUGAACAGAGAAGACAUCACUAGAUAGCAGUUGGUUGACUGAUUGCAGCAUCCUGCUCCUUAACUAUGCUUUCCUUUCACUGAAGUGGAGAACACACACACACACACACACACACACACACACACACACACACACACACACACACCAGCUACAACCAAUGCAGCCCCUGGUUUCAUAUUUUCAUGAGGGGACUUUACAACUUCUCAUCUUGAACUGUCAGGCAGACAUUCUACAAGAUGCUGAGAAUGUAAUUUAUUUUCCUGUCUCAAACAAAAUCUG
rnacentral:lncRNA from 10 species